UCAACUUCGAUCAAGGAGUUUGGAAGGGGGAUUCCUACAGGCAGUCGGCUCUGAUACAAACUUGUGACGCCCUCGAUUCAACCGUACACUAAUCAUACACGCAAAUGUGUACGAUCAAAAUCAAGGACUCACGGGAAGAUAUCACAACACAACUCUAGACACAAAUUAAAAUAAUACAAGCUUUAUAUUACAAGCCAGGGGCCUCGAGGGCUCGAAUACAUAAGCUCGAAAACACAAGAGUCGGUGGAAGCAACAAUAUCUGAGUAUAGACAUAAGUUAGACAAGUCUGCCUUAAGAAGGCUAGCACAAAAGCAACAACGAUCGAAAAGGCAAGGCCUCCUGCCUGGGAUCCUCCUAACUACUCCAAGUCGUCAGCAGCCGUCACGUAGUAGUAGGAAUCCUCGGGGUAGCAGUAGUCAUCAGUGGUGUCGUCUGGUUCCUGGUAUCCGUCAUCUAGUCGCAACAAUCGGGUAUGGGGGAAAAGAGGUAGCAAAGCAACCGUGAGUACUCAUCCAAAGUACUCGCAAGACUUACAUCAGAUCUAAACUAAGUAUGCAUCUGUAUCAAAGGAAAUGGGUUGUAUCUGUGGACUAAACUGCAGAAUACCAGAAGAGAAGGGGAAAGCCUAGCCUAUCAAAGACUAGCAUCUUCAAGCAUCUAGAAGAGUACAGAACAACAUAAUGUAAAGUAGUAGUGUUAUCAACCUCGGCCAGAGAUCCUUUCUCGACUCCCUGCGAGAAAGCAAUCCCAAAGCCAUACUAUCCAUUUCUCAUCUCAAGUAUCCAGUUCUAGUUGUAUCGAUCGGGAUACAACUCCAAGUGUCCGUUACCAUAGGACAGACUGUCGAUAGAUGUUUUCUUCCCUGCAAGGGUGCACCAACUUACCCACCACGCUCGAUUAACUCCGGCCGAAUACACUUUCUUGGGUCAUGCCCGGCCUCGGCCAAACAAUACGCCGCAACCCGACCUAGGCUUAAUAGAGAGGCCAGCACGCCGGACUAAACCUAUGCCCCCAGGGGUCUUGGGCCAUCGCCUCGGGAACUCCUGCACGUUGUGUGGGUGGCUGGUGAGUAGAACUAGCUACCUCCUUAAAAAGGCAGGAGCUUACCAGUCCAACCCGACGCGCGCCGCUCAGUCGUUGACGUCUAAUAAGCUUCGGCUGAUGCAUACGACGCAGAACGCUCAUACAAUGCCCGCGUGAUGGUUAGUGCUAUUAGACCAGAGGCCCCUCAGAUCAAAUAUCCAAACCGUUAGUGUGUUGGUAGUGCGGUCGCGAGCAAAGACUCAUGAAAGAUGUGACCCCGUUGCCCCGUCUCGAGUACUUACGGCAAGGGCUAAGAAUGCCCGGCCACGCCUCGUAAGUAUCUCGCGGGCACCCUCCAGGUCAACCCGACUCCACAUCACUCGCUAUUAAGCUCGUGCGGGUACCCCUCAGGGCCGACCUGCCUUUAGUAACAUGGUUCAGUGUAAAUUCAUAGUAACUAUAGUAACUGUGUGUCUAACACCAGGGGGAAAACCCGAGGAAUCACCCCCGGUGAAUUCCACUCGAUGUUAUCAUCAAGGUGAACGUAAGAGGAUCCACCCUCGAGGUUCACACUUGAGGGGUUGCACGACAGAGCCGUAACGGAAGUGGUUAAGGAGGAAAUCACCCUCGAUGACCUCGAUCGUAUAGCUACACUACAGAGAUCUCAUCAGGAGUGAUGUAAGAGGUUCCACCCUCGGCACUCGAUGGUAACUCUACAGAGUCGUACAACUGGGGGGUGAUGUGCGGUGUCGGGGCCUGGACGUCAAUCACGUUGAUCGAGUCAUCAAACAUAAAGCGAGGUAACUGGGACAAGGUGGGGUCACGGAUGGAUCUCUAACCAACCUAUACUAAGCAGUUUAGGAUAAGCAGGUAAGGUAUGAAAGCAGGUAACAAAAAUAGGCUAUGCAUCAUAGUAGGAUCAUACAGAAAGCAGUAGCAGUUCUAAUGCAAGCAUGAGAGGGAAGGAAAUAGGCGAUAUCGAAAUGCUCAAGGGGGGUUUGCUUGACUGGUUGCUCAGACGAGAUGGAUGGGUCGUCGGUGACGUAGUAGAUCACCAGGGCCUUAGCAGCGGUCUCGGGGUCUACCGGAGAGAAGAGGGGGAAGAAACAGUAAAUACAGAGCAAACAAGUGCAAUACUAUGCAUGAUAAGACAAAAAGCGGUGUUAGGGGUGUUCUAACGUGGCACUACACACUACCGGCAAAGGGGGAUAACAUCCGGGAAAGUUUUCCCGAAGUUUGCAUAUUCGGACAGACGAACCGAAGGGGAAAGGUUCGAUGUUCGCUAUGCAAGGGGCAUGUGACAGAUGAACGGAGAGCGUAUUCCGAUUCGUCUCAUCAUUCUGAACAACUUUCAUGUAUAAAACUUUUUCAUCCGAGGUACGGUUCAUUUUAUAUGAAUUUCUAAAGUUUUAACCUAUAUUCUAGAAAACCCUGAAAUUUUGCUAAGUCUGAGAAUUCGACAGUUUUUUUUAAACAUCACUUGGCUGUUUUCAAAAGACUACAACUAUUGUUCUGUACAUCCUAUGGGUUAGUGCCUUAUAUCAAUUUUGAGUACUUUUCUAUGAUCUACAUGUUAGUACCAAUUACAUCCAUAUUAGAGUUCAUUUGCUUGAACAUCAAGAGCACUAAAGUAGCUAUGAAAAUAAAACUGUUUUUCGGUUUUUCUAUUAACAGAACGUAGAUUUUUGUCAUUUUCAAAUGAUUUAAUCCGUGCCUUAAAUGGAUUUGUUCCAAUGGAAUAAAAUGGAUUUUGUCAAGUGUACUAUCUGUCCAUAUAAUUUUUACGCAUAUUAACUUUCGCUUAGUGGCUGUUCAGGGGCUGUCCAGUGGGCUAGUCAGGUUGAAGUGGCAAAAGCUAGCAAGCGCUACAGUAACCUUCAGUUUACUGUAGCGAGUAAUGUAGGCAGAGCAGUGCUAGCAUCGUCAGCACACAGCUGCGAGGAGCAGGGACACGGGCAGGGGGCUGCCAAGCACGCGCUUUGGCACGGCUGAGCGCGAGCGGGGUGUGGCCAGGCCAUGGCUAGGAGCAGCGGGCGCAUGCAGGCUGUAGCAGGCGGACGCGGAUGGACACGGCAAGGCGCCGGCGGUCAAGACCAGCAUCGCGGGGCGACCGAGCAGGGCUCGGCGAGCGUGGACGCGCGCGUGUGGGCGCGCUGCGAGGGGUGGAGGGGACGGGGCGGCACGUAGGCAGACGAGGCUACAGGCAGCAGCGACAGAGACAGCAGCAGUACAGGCGGGCGAGCGGGCGAGAAAGGGCUCGGCCCGGACGAGCACUGGCACGAUAAAGCACGGCCUGGGCAAGCACGAGACGGCCAGAGGGCAUAGGGGAGCGCGGCUAGGGCGCGCGCGGAGCAAAGCUCCGACGGUCCGGCCAUGGCGGCCGAAGCUCGAGGUCGACGACUAAAUGGUGAUGGAACGAGACGAAAAAAGAGGGGAUCCGGAGGAGGGGCUCACAAUGAGUUCGGUGGUGAGGUCGGGGAGGUCAGGGAGGCGCCGAAGCAAACGCAACAACGGCGAGGUUGUGACGACCAGACGAAGAAGAUGAAGACGACGUCGGCUCGAGGGCGUCCCGACUUGAGCUGGUCGCCCGGACGAACGAAUCCGGCGACGGCGGACCUCCCGGAUGUGCUCCCGAACGUCGAAGACGUCGGUGGCCGUGACAACGACGGUGUGGCAGCGGUGAUCGCAGUUUCUUUCGAGCUCAAAUUCGAGCAGCAGAGGAAGGGGGCGAAGGGGGAAC
rnacentral:lncRNA from 1 species